UCGGGAAUUUUGGGCAAUGGGCGAAAGCCUGACCCAGCAACGCCGCGUGAAGGAUGAAGUAUUUCGGCAUGUAAACUUCGAAAGAAUAGGAAGAAUAAAUGACGGUACUAUUUAUAAGGUCCGGCUAACUACGUGCCAGCAGCCGCGGUAAUACGUAGGGACCAAGCGUUGUUCGGAUUUACUGGGCGUAAAGGGCGCGUAGGCGGCAAUUCAAGUCAUCUGUGAAAUCUCCGGGCUUAACUCGGAACGGUCAGAUGAUACUGCUUUGCUAGAGUGCAGAAGGGGCAAUCGGAAUUCUUGGUGUAGCGGUGAAAUGCGUAGAUAUCAAGAGGAACACCUGAGGUGAAGACGGGUUGCUGGGCUGACACUGACGCUGAGGCGCGAAAGCCAGGGGAGCAAACGGGAUUAGAUACCCCGGUAGUCCCUGAGCGGGCUGGCAAGGCGCAU
rnacentral:rRNA from 1 species